rnacentral:rRNA from 1 species
UACGAAGGGUGCUAGCGUUGUUCGGAAUUAUUGGGCGUAAAGGGCGCGUAGGCGGCUUCGCAAGUGACGGGUGAAAUCCCUCGGCUUAACCGAGGAACUGCCUGUCAAACUGCGUGGCUUGAGACCAGGAGAGGUGAGUGGAAUUCCCAGUGUAGCGGUGAAAUGCGUAGAUAUUGGGAGGAACACCAGUGGCGAAGGCGGCUCACUGGACUGGUACUGACGCUGAGGCGCGAAAGCGUGGGGAGCAAACAGG